UACGAAAGAGGGGCGUCAGCAUUGCUGUGGUGUUGGCAAUCGCCCCCCCCCCACGCUGACCUCUCCCUCAUUGCCCCACUUGCAUGCAUCCACUCACGCCACCUCCUCAUACACGCAUACGUCAUCCUAACAAAAGAAGGAGUGCGAGAGAAAGAGAGAGUGCCAGCAGAGUGAGGCGCAACGGCCAGCGGCAGAGAGCGCAUACGCGAACAUCGCUGCACAACGGAACCGCUCGAGAGCAAGGGAAGCAGACGCGCACCCGCUACACAGAGAGUUUUUAAAGAGGAAUCAACCUCCAUCACAUCAGAGAUCGGCUGACGCGCAUCCGCUGCAGACGAGUAAGUUUGCAAGUCGGGGUACAAGAGGGCUUGCGAAGGACAACGUUUGUGUGCGCGUGUGUGUGCUCUGUCGUAUCUAAUCGAGACGGCCAUGCUUGCAUCGUCGUCGUCACCGCGGUACGCGGACGGCGUCGCAGCAACAGAGGUGUCGGGUGCCGUCUCAUCGGCCGCGGUGGCCGCGGCGCUGCCCGCAUCGGGUAGUCUCUCCACAAAUGCCGUGACGCGCAACUUCUCUGACCUCCACGCCCCGACGUGGUUUGCGCUGCUCUCCGCCAACAUUGGGGCUCGCACAUUUCUCUUCCACCCCAUACAGCUCGCGAUCAGUCGCAAGCGCGUGACGCGCGAAAGCACGCCGCCGACGGUCAUCGGCCUUGUGAAGGCGUCCUACCGCGGCGGUCGCACCUCGGCGUACGGCGCCACGUGCACCAAGGGUCAGUACGACUUUGGCAAGGGCGGCGUCCGAGGAUGCUAUCGUGGGGUCGGGGCGGCGCUGCUGUGCAACCUGCUGGGCGAGACCAGCUACCUUUUCACGCUGGAGGCGGUGAAGGAGUACGUGGAGGCCGCCUCGCCCAAGCGCGCGGAGAACGUAUUCGCAGCAAGCAGCUACUCCGCCGCGGUGGGGGCAAUGUGCGGCGACCUCGUCGCCCUGCUCCUCGUCAGUCCCCUUGUUAUUGUGUGCAACCGACAGAUGACGGCGGGGUACAGUAUGGCGUCGACGAACUCGUACACGAACGUGCCGCAGACAUUCCGCACGGUUUGGGGACUGUAUCAGAAGAAAGAAGUCGCGGCUGGACGCGUCUGGCCCGGCGAGCGCGUUCGCUGUGGAUUGAGUGGUGUGUAUCAGGGUCUGAGUGCGGGUCUGCUGCGCAUACCAUCGAGCGGGUGCUGGUGGGGGCUUUACACAAAGUCAAAGGAGGCGCUCUACGUCGUUGCUGCACCAAAGCUGGCCGUGUGGGAACAGGAGUACCGGGACGCCGCCGCGGCGGCGUCAGACACCAAGUCGGUUCCCCUGUGGCGGCAGAAUUGGCUCCUUUCUCCAACGGACAACCCGCUGUUGAACGCGGUGGCGAGUAUCAUUGCCAGCGUGUGCACGACGCUCCUCUUCAACCCCAUUGCGGUUAUUCAGACUCGUCAGCAAGCCCUUCCGCCGGGGCUUUGGGAGGAGCAGACGAUGGUGGCUGCUGGAGGGGGUGGGGCAGCGUCCUCAUUGUCGCCAACGGUGCGAAAGCAAACGUGGAAGUCGUCGCUGCCGUUCCGCCGCGUCUACCGCGUCGCCAACGACCUCGCGCGCAAGGAAGGUGUGCGGGGCUUCUUCAAGGGUUCACUGGCAAACAUGUCCGUUGCCGUGCUGGACGGCAUCUUCUUCACAUUACUGUUCGAGUUCACGAAACUCGGCAGCGACAUGCAGUUCCUCGAGAAGCUUCACACAGACUAAUCAGCCAAGGCAUCAUAGGGCGCAAGCGGCGCGGGGUCCACCACGAUGGAAGACGCGGAGAAGGUGACGGAGGGGGGGGGGGGGGCAGAGAACUCGGCGGAGUACAUCUAGCGGAUGGUGGCAGUGAUGCGAAUUCGUGCGUGGGCUUCUCUGUGUGUAUACAUCAAGAGAAGGAAGCUCUCUUGCUGUCUGUUCUGCUGUUGCCGACUCGACAUACCGUGUAGCGACGCAGUCCUCCCACCCCCCGCCCUGCCGCCAGCCCCUCUCCUUAUCCCUGUCACCUUCGAUUCACCUUCAUGGCCAUCCCUUAUUGUCGCUCCGUAUCGACUCUGUCACACGCGCGGGCACGUGCUCAGGUAUGCUUUACACGUAUUCAUCUGCAUUCUUAGAGAUGCGUCUGUGCGCGUGGCUUCUAGUUUUCUGUGGUCACUAAGAGCGCCACGCACGCUGUCCGCGACUAUGACGGCUGAGCGUGUGUGUCGAACGUGCUACCGCGCUACCACAGCUGCUCUGCCCCCUCCCCCCCCCACACACACACACUGGCCCUGAGCCUCGCUCUCUCUCUUUUGGAAGCCCACCUUUUCUUAUUUUUUUUCUUCUCGAGGGAGAGCAACAGCAGCAGCAGCAGCAGGGGCGACGGGGAGGGAGGGGAGGAGGAGGGCGUAGUAGUACCUCACGUUGUCACCAGGCUCCCGGUGGUUCGUGUCGAGGGAGCACACCGCCCCCCUCCCUCUCUCGCUCCGAUACCUUGUCUCCCCCAUUUUACAUCCGUGUGUGUUCG
rnacentral:misc_RNA from 1 species